GGUUGGGUCCUGCUCAACGUGGUGUAGACGAACUCGGUCAGGUCCUGACGGAAGCAGCCGUAGAUUACAUUCGCGUGUGCUGCAGGAGUGCCUGGCCGUC
rnacentral:SRP_RNA from 1 species